UACGAAGGGGACUAGCGUUGUUCGGAAUCACUGGGCGUAAAGCGCACGUAGGCGGAUUCGUAAGUCAGGGGUGAAAUCCCGGGGCUCAACCUCAGAACUGCCUUUGAUACUGCGGGUCUUGAGUCCGAUAGAGGUGGGUGGAAUUCCUAGUGUAGAGGUGAAAUUCGUAGAUAUUAGGAAGAACACCGGUGGCGAAGGCGGCCCACUGGAUCGGUACUGACGCUGAGGUGCGAAAGCGUGGGGAGCAAACAGG
rnacentral:rRNA from 1 species